rfam:Gossypium raimondii Chr02_contig_615, whole genome shotgun sequence.
AACCCAUGAUGAGGGCAUCUUAUCCAAAGAUCCUUAAAUCUCUCCCAUGCAUCGUAUAGUGUCUCAAACUCAAUUUGGGAAAAUGAAGACAUGUCGUUCCUCAACUU